rnacentral:lncRNA from 1 species
AUCUGAUCUGCCUAGCUACGCAAAAUGUGAAAAGGUCCUUUGCCUGAAAGGGUCUUUCCUUUCCGAGCCUGGAGAGCUGCGGAAUCGUCUCUUCUACCUUAGUAGUACAUUUAUUACCGCGAACAAACUGUUAAAUUGAAAUUUUAUUUGAUUUCAGGCUCCAAUGUAAAAUACACGUUUGACUGAAAGAGAUUUCAUAUUUUUACCAAGACAGGAUACACAGACAAGUAGGACGCAAGUCUAAAAUUUUUGCCAUAAUCUGGGAAGGUAACUCAGCGGAGAAAGCACUUGCUAUGAAACCAUGAGGACUGGAGUUCAGAUAUCCAGAAUCCAAGUAAAAACCAGGCAGGCACAGUGGCCUACCUGUAAUCCCAAGGCUAAGGAAGCAGGGACAAAGAAUCCUGGACUAUCUAGACCAGCUGGAUCAGUGAGCUCUGGGUUCAAGAGAGAGACCCUGUCCCAAUGUCUAUAGAAGAGCAGAAUUGAGGAGGGUUCUCAACACCAACCUCUGGUCCCCAUGUGCACCUGCAG